GAUCAUGGCUCAGGAUGAACGCUAGCUACAGGCUUAACACAUGCAAGUCGAGGGGCAUCAGUUUGGUUUGCUUGCAAACCAAAGCUGGCGACCGGCGCACGGGUGAGUAACACGUAUCCAACCUGCCUCAUACUCGGGGAUAGCCUUUCGAAGAAAGAUUAAUAUCCGAUAGCAUAUAUUUCCCGCAUGGGUUUUAUUAUUAAAGAAAUUCGGUAUGAGAUGGGGAGUGCGUUCCAUUAGUUUGG
rnacentral:rRNA from 1 species